UCCCGAGUAGCUCAGUUGGUAGAGCAGUUGACUGUUAAUCAAUUGGUCGCAGGUUCGAGUCCUGCCUCGGGAGCCA
rnacentral:tRNA from 1 species